rnacentral:rRNA from 1 species
AGUGAACGCUGGCGGUAGGCCUAACACAUGCAAGUCGAACGGCAGCACAGUAAGAGCUUGCUCUUACGGGUGGCGAGUGGCGGACGGGUGAGGAAUACAUCGGAAUCUACUUUUUCGUGGGUGAUAACGUAGGGAAACUUACGCUAAUACCGCAUACGACCUACGGGUGAAAUCAGGGGAUCUUCGGACCUUUCGCGAUUGAAUGAGCCGAUGUCGGAUUAGCUAGUUGGCGGGGUAAAGUCCCACCAAGGCGACGAUCCGUAGCUGGUCUGAGAGGAUGAUCAGCCACACUGGAACUGAGACACGGUCCAGACUCCUACGGGAGGCAGCAGUGGGGAAUCUUGGACAAUGGGCGCAAGCCUGAUCCAGCCAUGCCGCGUGGGUGAAGAAGGUCUUCGGGUUGUAAAGCCCUUUUGUUGGGAAAGAAAAGCAGCAGGUUAAUCCACCGCUGUUCUGACGGUACCCAAAGAAUAAGCACCGGCUAACUUCGUG